AGAAUUGUCAAGAGGGCCAAUUUGCCUCAAGAUUUUGUACCAUCGGAGCAUUUUAAGUCCCUCACAUCAAGUUCAACCUCCAAGAGUUUACCGUUCUGAGGAGAUUGGAUGGAUCUAGAUUGGUGUGGAGAUUGAAGAGGAGCAUCUUGAAGUUAGUCUUUUUAUUAUUGUUCUAGUUGGUCUCGAUCUUUGUAGUGGCAUUGUUAGCACAUGAAAUAGUCGUCUUGUGUUAGAU
rnacentral:misc_RNA from 1 species